rnacentral:rRNA from 1 species
UACGUAGGGUGCGAGCGUUGUCCGGAAUUAUUGGGCGUAAAGGGCUCGUAGGCGGUUUGUCGCGUCGGGAGUGAAAUCCACUGGCUUAACUGGUGGCUUGCUUUCGAUACGGGCAGACUGGAGGUAUGCAGGGGAGAACGGAAUUCCUGGUGUAGCGGUGAAAUGCGCAGAUAUCAGGAGGAACACCUGAGGCGAAGGCGGGUUGCUAGGCUGACACUGACGCUGAGUGCGCGAAAGCCAGGGGAGCAAACGGG